UACGGCCAUAUACGUUGAAACAUUGGUUCUCGUACAAUCACCAAAGUUAAGCAACGUCGGGCCUUGUCAGUAUCUAGAUGGGUGACCGCUUUGGAAUACGAGGUGCUGAAAG
rnacentral:rRNA from 1 species